CUCACCGCUGCUCCAACCCGAACGCGACUCCUCCAACCGCGGAACCGCCACGCUGAUCUCCAUCCCCGCCUUGAGACUCCCAGACCUCCCCAUCGAUGUCCGUCGCCGCCCGCCCCCAUCCCCCAUCCGCGGCCGCCCAUCCCCGUCCCUGACCGCGGCACCGGCGAGCGGGCGUGGCCGCAUGGCACCUGAUCCGCUUCCGCGCGACUGGCGGGCCAAGCUUGCGGCCGUGCCGGCGCCGCCCGUCCCUCGCUGUACUCCACCAGGGUGCCUGCCGUCUCCACCCAGGCCUCUCGUCCCAGAGCUCGCGGCCACCGGCGCCUAGGCGGCCACGCGGCUCGCGUCCCCGCCCGAGCGACCUUCAGCACCGAGGCACCGCCCGUCCUGCCCGGGCGCCCCUUCCCACCCUGGCUAGAGCCACGCGUAACGGCCUAGGCGCCGGUGACGCCCGUGGCCAUCCGGCAGUCGUUGUCCGCCAUCGCCGCGCGCCCAUCCCGGCAGAGGCGCUGUCCAAGCCGAGUCACCUGCCCGCCCUUGCACGGCCAGGCACGAGCGCAACUCGUCACUUUCCAAGUGAGCACUUCAAUGGAUCCACAAGAGGAGCACGACGAGUGGUUCAACUACGACUACAACGCUGCUGCUGCUGCGACGAACCUUGGCCUGACUUGAUAAUUGCUUCCUGUUUCACAUUUUGCACAAGUGGAGAAAGUCUGAAUGUUUCCGUAUAUCUUGAUUCUUGCAUGUUCUCCUGUUAUGUCAUAAAUUAUAUAGUAUAUAUUUUUAUGCCUUGCUGAUCCAAUUGAUGGAUUACAACAACAACAACAACAUAGCCUUUAAUUGAUGGAUUGAUCUGAAAAGUUUUAUGUUGUCCAUAAGUCAAAAAGCUAUGUUUCAUCCUUCUUACUUCGUUCAAUUUAUCCGGUUCAUGCUUAUCACAUCCACAUAGAACUGAACAUGCAGCUUGUUUACUUCAGUUCAAUUUUUGCUCCUGAUCAUAUAUGAUUGUUUAAUUCAGAUUUGAGUGCUGGAAUUUUCUUUUUGGGGUAUCAAUAUUUCAGAGAAUAUGCAGGAACUUGUCCAGUAGUGUGUUCUUUUAGUUCUGUCUAGUAUGAAUUCUCCAAAUUGCACUUCCUGCAAUUAAAAUAUAAUCAUAACUCAUACUACUUUUCGUUGUUCUCUUUACUUGACCAAAGAAACAUCUAGUCCUGAUAGAGGGAUUGAAGAAAAAACAAAAUUGAUGAUCUUAGCAGAAUUAAAGAAAACAAAUACAUGGACUCUAGGAUGUCAGCAAGGAUUGCAGAGCUUGAAAGAGAGAUUUCUGAAUCUUCUAGCUCCUUCAGGCAAAGCAAAGGGUAUCAUACAUGGAAAAUGUUAUUUUUCAUGCAGAUGAUUGCAGUAUUACUUUGUUGGUAUCUAAUUUUUUUGUCUGUCUUUGGUGCUUGAAGGAGUUGUAACCAAUGAAGGAUGUUGCGGCUACUAUGAAAAACGUCUGGGUGCUCGGCUUUCAAUUAUAUAGUUUUAUCUCCCUUUCUCCUUGUGCAAAAUUUAUAGUUGGUGGGGUCAUCAAAAACAAUUUCUAUAAAGUGUGUAUCAAUCAUCCUAUUGCAAAAGAUGAACUAUUAGUAAGGCCUCUGACCUGGUACAGCAUCACUGGUGAUGCCAUACCAAAACAGCACCAAUGCAAUUGCUUGGCCUUCGAAUUAUGUUUGUUGCUGCUAUAUAUUUUUUUCUAGCAUAUAUGGAUAGUAUAGUAUUUAAUGUUACAACUUGUUUCUGUAUGCAGGUUUGAAUUACCAAUGACUGAAUUCUUAUAUUGAUGUGUACAUGAAUGGAUCCAGAAGCAACGGACUUGAAGAAUACUAGAUAUCAAAUGGAUAGAGAAGCAACGAAUUUUAAGAAUACUAGAUAUUUGUAUUUACAUUUUGCUUUCCAGUAGUGUAGACUUGUACUGCUCACUACUAUGUAUAUUUACUCUUUAGAAUCAUAUUGUUAUGUAUAUAGACUAUCAUGUGACGUGAACAAGUACUACUAUUGAAACUUUCGUACAAUCAAUGCAAGGUCCUAUGGUUCUUGAAAUA